rnacentral:rRNA from 1 species
GACGAACGCUGGCGGCGUGCCUAAUACAUGCAAGUAGAACGCUGAAGAGAGGAGCUUGCUCUUCUUGGAUGAGUUGCGAACGGGUGAGUAACGCGUAGGUAACCUGCCUGGUAGCGGGGGAUAACUAUUGGAAACGAUAGCUAAUACCGCAUGAUAUUAAUUAUCGCAUGAUAAUUAAUUGAAAGAUGCAAUUGCAUCACUACCAGAUGGACCUGCGUUGUAUUAGCUAGUUGGUGAGGUAACGGCUCACCAAGGCGACGAUACAUAGCCGACCUGAGAGGGUGAUCGGCCACACUGGGACUGAGACACGGCCCAGACUCCUACGGGAGGCAGCAGUAGGGAAUCUUCGGCAAUGGGGGGAACCCUGACCGAGCAACGCCGCGUGAGUGAAGAAGGUUUUCGGAUCGUAAAGCUCUGUUGUAAGAGAAGAACGGGUGUGAGAGUGGAAAGUUCACACUGUGACGUAUCUACCAGAAAG